rnacentral:rRNA from 1 species
CCUACGGGCGACAGCAGUCGAGAAUCAUUCACAAUGGGGGAAACCCUGAUGGUGCGACGCCGCGUGGGGGAAUGAAGGUCUUCGGAUUGUAAACCCCUGUCAUGUGGGAGCAAAUUAAAAAGAUAGUACCACAAGAGGAAGAGACGGCUAACUCUGUGCCAGCAGCCGCGGUAAUACAGAGGUCUCAAGCGUUGUUCGGAAUCACUGGGCGUAAGGCGUGCGUAGGCUGUUUCGUAAGUCGUGUGUGAAAGGCGCGGGCUCAACCCGCGGACGGCACAUGAUACUGCGAGACUAGAGUAAUGGAGGGGGAACCGGAAUUCUCGGUGUAGCAGUGAAAUGCGUAGAUAUCGAGAGGAACACUCGUGGCGAAGGCGGGUUCCUGGACAUUAACUGACGCUGAGGCACGAAGGCCAGGGGAGCGAAAGGGAUUAGAUACCCUAGUAGUC